UCUUUUCUCUUGCUUAUUCUCUCUAAAUUUAUGCAACAAUUAUAAGAGUAUCUUUAUAUACUUUUGCUAAAGUUUUAUAACACGUUAUCAGCACGAGGCUCUAACCAACUGAGACGGUAAAAUUAAAUUCUUGCAAUUUAUUAUUAUAUUACCGGUUUGGCUAUUCUACCAAUAAUAUAAUUUUAUUCUUAUAAUUGCCAUUAAAUUCUAUUGUUAUUCCAUUAUUUAUUAUUCUGUCGGAAUAUCCUGUCUGUGCGUUUACGCCGGACCUGGUUCCAUUAUUUAUUAUUCUGUCGGAAUAUCCUGUUGGUGCGUUUACGCAUGACCUGGUUCCAUUAUUUAUUAUUCUGUUGGGAAUAACCUGUC
rnacentral:lncRNA from 1 species